rnacentral:lncRNA from 1 species
ACCGCAUAAAAGUGACACUGGUGUCACCUUUUCAUAAUUGUUUGUGUUGUACAAGUAUUUGAAAGUUUUGUUUUGACGAAAAGUGCACAAUUUACAAUCAUUUACUUAAAAGAUGAACCGAAUGAUUUACUGCGCAUCCUUUAAACUACCCAUAUAGCGUAAUGUUUUGUUGAAUAUUACGAAUUGAGAUAACUGUUAAAUAAGUUUGUGAUUACGCCUCACGCCUUACGAAAGAUUAGAUGAUGAAUACAGCCUUUAUCUUCUGCGUUUUCGUAGCUCUGAUAUGUUUUGUUUCAGCACAGGAAUAUAAAUACUGCAACAACGGUCAGGACUGUUUGGAUGUUAAAUGUUCUGACGAAACACACGCGACUUUCUGCCACUCACAUGAGUGCCACUGCCACGAAUAUAUUGAGUGCUACUUUGACUCUUAAUGUAAACACUGCGGUGUUACAAACUAAAGCUGCGAUAACGGCCGUUACCACGGUUCUGUCUGUACACAUCAUAGGAAGUAAAAUGAUAGUGCAAAGACUUAAAACGUGCGGAAACUGAAACUGAAAAUCUAAUUUGAUUCAAUGCCAAUUUUUAUACAACGACAUAUUCAAUGGCGUUGUACAUUCAAUUAAACAUGAUGAAAUGUGAAAAAACUCACAAAAAUUUAAAAACUAACACCUGCUGUUAUCGCAUUUAAAACAGUUAUCAAACAAUUUAAAACAAUGCCAUAACGUCUCUAAAAUACAGUGUCUUAAGAUUUUGUUUGAAUGUAUCAAGUGAUUCACUUUUGCGUAAUGCUAACGGCAGUUCAUUCCACAGCUUUGGACCAAUAGCACAGAAACUUUUAUCAUAGAAUGUUUUCCGCUUGCUUGUUUAGAACUGUCAAAUUUCCUCCUGUUAAGGACAAGUUUUGCACACAUGUUUUGGAUAUAUUGCAUCAUACGCACCUCACCGUUAGCUACACCAUACAGUAUGACAUUGCAGUAAUCCAGAUGUGAAACAAGUCGAAAUAUUUCCUGCGGCCAGAAGUUAUACAGACCAGAAAUUGUUGAUAGUAACUUAUGGAUGAAUAACGUACUUGUUUCGUGUUUUAUUAUACCAUUACGCUUUAAUGUAAGAAAUAUUACUCCAUUCUACAUGAUUUACAAGUAGAUAUAUGAACUAAGUAUUUCUUAAUUCUGAAAGUUAUUGUUUUGAGCAAAAAUAACUAUAUU